CCUACGGGAGGCAGCAGUGGGGAAUAUUGCACAAUGGGGGAAACCCUGAUGCAGCGACGCCGCGUGAGUGAAGAAGUAAUUCGUUAUGUAAAGCCCUAUCAGCAGGGAAGAAAAUGACGGUACUUGUGUAAGAAUCCCCGGCUAACUACGUGCCAGCAGCCGUGGUAACAUGGAGGGGGCAAGCGUUAUCCGGAUUUACUGGGUGUAAAGGGAGCGUAGACGGCACUGCAAGUCUGGAGUGAAAGGCGGGGGCUCAACCCCCGGACUGCUCUGGAAACUGUACGGCUGGAGUGCAGGAGAGGUAAGUGGAAUUCGUAGUGUAGCGGUGAAAUGCGUAGAUAUUAGGCAGAACCCCAGUGGCGAAGGCGGCUUACUGGACUGUAACUGACGUUGAGGCUCGAAAGCGUGGGGAGCGAACAGGAUUAGAUACCCUUGUAGUC
rnacentral:rRNA from 1 species